CCUACGGGUGGCAGCAGUGAGGAAUAUUGGUCAAUGGGCGGAAGCCUGAACCAGCCAAGUAGCGUGCAGGAUGACGGCCCUACGGGUUGUAAACUGCUUUUAUACGGGGAUAACGUGCCUUACGUGUAUUGCUUUGCAUGUACCGUAUGAAUAAGGACCGGCUAAUUCCGUGCCAGCAGCCGCGGUAAUACGGAAGGUCCGGGCGUUAUCCGGAUUUAUUGGGUUUAAAGGGAGCGUAGGCCGCAUGUCAAGCGUGCCGUGAAAUGCCCGGGCUCAACCCGGGCCGUGCGGCGCGAACUGGCGUGCUUGAGUGCGCGGAAGGCAGGCGGAAUUCGUGGUGUAGCGGUGAAAUGCUUAGAUAUGACGAAGAACCCCGAUUGCGAAGGCAGCUUGCUGCAGCGGAACUGACGCUGAUGCUCGAAGGCGCGGGUAUCGAACAGGAUUAGAUACCCUUGUAGUC
rnacentral:rRNA from 1 species